GCAUGUGCGUGGACACCCUGUUCCUCUGCUUCUGUGAAGAUCUGGAGAGAAACGAUGGAUCUCCGGAGAGGCCUUACUACAUGUCCCCCGAGCUGAGCGAGAUCCUGCUGAAGGGGCACCUAGAGCCUUCCAAAAGCGCCGAUAGCCAAGGCUAGGCCGGGCUGGGCGGGACCCUCCCGGCCCCCCGGCCCCAGCAGCGGCUCCCGCGGUGUCCCCUGGAACUCCUCCGAGGGUGGCGGGCCCUCGGCGCUGUCCAAUCUGCCUUCCUGCCCAAAAACCCGCGUUCCUGCGCCGAGAGAACCCGCGCGGGGCUGGCUGGGGCUCCCGGCAGUGCCCGGCGGGGAGCGCGGCGCCCGGGAUGGCCGUGGCUUUGGGGCAGAGAUCCCCGCUCCCGAGGGAGGGCUGGCACGAGGGGCCCAGCGCGGGUCAGGGACAGGGCUGGGUGGGACGGGCCGAGCGGGUUCCGCCGCCCCAGACCGGGCUCGCGGCGUUUCCUCUGCGUCCGCUUCAGCCGAGAGCACUGAGACUUUCUUUGCCCUUUCCUCGCCCCUUUCCUCGCAGUUUUCUCACCCUUUUCCUCCUCCUGUCUCUAUGCAAACCACAGAGUUUUGAAGGAUUCUGGGCGAGGUUGCAGAGCUUUGCUGGUUUGGCCCAGCUUGUCCCUGUCCCCUGUCCCAGCCAUCGCAGGAGCUGUCACUGGGACUUGGUGGCUGCUGGGACUUGGAGAUUUUCACUCCAGCCACGGGGGAAGUCAGGAUUUCUCCUCCAGAAAGCCCAGAAAUUAUCAAGAUUUAAGAAAAACAGCUCUUGUGGCUCAGCCUCAGCCACAGCUCCCAGCCGGGCCCUCCCAGGACAAAGCCCUGGUGUUGGUGCUCCCGUGUCCAUCCCAGAAGGAUCCAAAUCCCUCUCAAAACACCCCCUGGGCGUUGUGAGCCGGGAGCUUUGUGGCUUUGUUUGGUUUUGGGGUGUUGUUUUUCCACGGCUGGGAUUUUCCAGCCUCGUUGGCGUGUCAGGAACGAGGGGAAUCGCUUUUCAAUGGCUCCAGAGCUGCUGGGAAGAGCCAAGGCCUCCCUCCUGCCCUUGGCUCUGUUCAAAAACACAAAACACCCAAAUUUCCUCUCCCUCCUCAACCUCUGCGGGCCACCCCCAGAUUUGCCGUGUCAGAGAGGGGAAAAACCCCACCAUUCAGUACGAGCCCAGAGGCUUUGUUUAAGCUGGCAACCGCUGUCAGAGGAUCCCGGGAGCCUCCAGCACACCAACCCCAGGCCUGCCCCCGCCGCGGGGCCGGGGGUUUCUCUUUGCAGUGGAAGACCUGGAGCGCAACGACGGCUCAGCGGAAAAGCCCUACUUCAUGUCCCAGGACCUGAGGAAGCUGCUCAAGAAGACCAACAAGGGCCAGCCCGACGCGUAGCGCCGCCUGUCCCGCGCGGAACCCGCCUCCGCGGACCCUGGACGCCCCUGGCAGCGCGGGUGGGCGGGUGAAAUUCACAUUUUUGAUGACUCGGCCUUAAACCCUCGCGCUGGUAACGAUGACGAGCUUGUCGCCGCCGACGAGGCGCAGGGCCCGGCGCCAGUGCCACUCCCGGGGUAAAAUCCCCCAAUUUCGGCGACUCCAGAGCGAGUUUAAUUGUGAGUUUGGUCCCAGUAAACCCUUCUGGGGUCGGCGCGGGGCGUCCACGCAGAUCUGGAGGGGCAGGAAUGAGCCGGGAGGUUCAGGCAGCUCCUCACGGGGCGUUCUCCUUGUGGCCCCCCUAAAUAUUGAAUUGUGUUUGUGCAUACCUGCCCGGAGAGCUGGCACGGGCUGGAAUCGCCUCCCAUCCCUCGCUGCCCUCUGUCGGCACCCCAGGGCCCCGUUCUGGGCCCUAAUUAAUUAAUUCUUUUAGGAAUAAGCUAAUUGUUGCUUCUGUAGCCAGUGCAAGGGGUGAAGGUGGAGGGGAACGAGGGGGCCGUGGGCACAGUUUGGGGCUUGAGGCUCUGUCCAGCUCUUGCACCUCUUGAGGAGCUGCAGCUCCCACAGGUUCCUCCCCGAAAUGUGCACCUGGUCCCCCCAAAUUUGUCAUUUUAGGGCAAACCCCCUCCCCAGCUCCCCAAAGGCUUCACCUGCAUAGGGGGAUUUGGGGUUUGGGACACCCACCCAGGGCGUGGGGAGGGGCUGUGGAUGGACCCGGGGGGGGGUUUUGGUGUCAUUCCAGGUGAUUUUGGCAAUCCCGGGGGCAUCCAACACCUGCCUCCAGCCAGGAGGGGGGAAAAAGGGGUUUUUUUUGUGUGCGUGGAAAAGGGGUCAAUUAGCUCUAAAAUGUAAUUAACACUGACCCAAAGUGUAAUAGAAUUAACCCUCAGACCCAGCGCUGCCACCACCAGCAAUUGGGCUUUUUUAGGGCUUAUUUGUUCUGAAAAGGACUUUUAGAAGUGCUCUGAGGCUUUGGGGGACAAUUCCCCCCCCUCCAGUGCUCACCUGGCUCCAGGAGUUGCUGCUGAGGGAUCCCUUUGGCUUCCUUUUAUCCCAAUUCCCCGCCACCUUUGGGUUUUGUAUCAUCCAGGGGACGUUUCUAUGGAAUUAUCCAAUCCUUUGGGGGCUUUUGUAUAUUUUGCUUUUCCAGGAUGUUUUCAGUUAUGGUUAUUUGGAGCUUUUCCAGUGAAUUUUUGGGGGCACGUUUUAGUUUCUGUGACGCCACCGGGCAGAGCUUCCCUGUCUGUAAUUUCUCUAAUUUUUCUUUUUAAAAUUCCCCAAAUUUUCCCUUUUCCCCCUCGUUUUUUAGUGCAGCUGAUCAGGGGACAGAGGAGUGGAAGGGAAAAUGGAAGCCAAAAAACAAUGAAGGAAAAUGUAAAACUAGAAAGGUGAAGGGAAUGGCAGAACAAUGAAGGGAAAGGUAAAAACAAAGCUAAAAAUGUAACAGUAAAGCUCAACAGAAACGAUCAAAUGAAGCUAAAAAGAAGCAAAUCCUCCCUGUUUGGGAUGAGUGGGAAUAAUUCAGGGAAUAAUCACCAGACCUUGUUCCACUUACAGCCAUUCCAGCACGUGUCCUGCAGCUCCUGAUGCUCAUUCUGGAUUAAUUUGGUUUUUUUUUCCCUCCCUGUGCAGGUUUCAGGGUGGAUUUGGUUUUGUUUCUGCCCAGAAUGUUCGUGUUGGGGGCAAAUUCUCUCCCACUCCUCGAUUUUCAGCUGUUUUCCUCCCAAAUCCUGACCCUUUGGGUGUGGGAACCCUGUGGGAAGCAGCUGAGGAGUGGCAGGAACUGGGUUUAUUUGCUCAAAAAGGCAAAAACCAGCAGGAAUUUGGAAGGGUGGAAGGAAAAGUGGCGAAAGAGAGAAGAAAUUUGGAAAAAUGUGUUUGUGGGGAAGCCAGGCUGGCUCGGCUGCCUCCCAGCAGCACAGGAUUUGAGGAGAAUUAAGGAUUUUUAUUCCCAAUAAACCCAAGUGGCUUUUUAGAGGUGAUGGGGAGCAGUAAGGGAAAUAUUCCUGUAAAUUAGGAAAUUCACAGGAAUAUUUCUGAAGUCUCUUUGGAAAACUCAGAGCGAGGGCAGCUGUCUGGGGGAAUUUGGUGUCCAGAAAAGCUUCACUCCAAGGCUGGGUUCCUGCUUGCAGGCAAAGCUCCGUGUUCAAGGCGUUAAAUGAUGGAAUUUAGGAAUAAUGGCGCUUUUUACCCCCCUGUCUAGAAAUGUGGCUUCUGUCCCUACAAACCUGAUUGUUCUGCGGGCAAAGAAAACAACCCUAAAAUCCUAAACAAUGCUAAACCUGCAGGGCUGAUGUUUUACAGGAAAAUGCUCCUUUUUCACGUGUUUUUGAGGCAUUAAGGGUGCUGUGACACUCCGGAGUCUCUGCGCUGUUCCGUCAGUGUCGCGACCAACAAUAAAAAAGUGCCUGUUUGGA